rnacentral:rRNA from 1 species
UACGUAGGGUGCAAGCGUUAAUCGGAAUUACUGGGCGUAAAGCGUGCGCAGGCGGCUUUGCAAGACAGAUGUGAAAUCCCCGGGCUCAACCUGGGAACUGCAUUUGUGACUGCAUGGCUGGAGUGCGGCAGAGGGGGAUGGAAUUCCGCGUGUAGCAGUGAAAUGCGUAGAGAUGCGGAGGAACACCGAUGGCGAAGGCAGCCCCCCUGGGCUAACACUGACGCUCAGGCACGAAAGCGUGGGGAGCAAACAGG